GAGGACCGUAUUCAUGGAAGAGGAUUGAACAGACUACUGAGUUCUUAAGAGAAAAAUGGCACUUAAGAAAUUGAUGGUGAUAUCAAAGGAAGGUUACUUAUUACUCUUGGACUUUGAUGAUGAGGACGAUGACAUAAAAGUUUCAGAGGAGGCUCUUGCGGAAGAGAUGAAGUAGACAGUAUGUUGGAUAAAUCUGGAGUAAAGAACCCAGCAAUUGGUAAAGAUGAGAAUAUAUCGCCUCAAGUAAAAGGAGAUGAAGACAUGGGAGAUGAAAUUGACAGUAUGUUGGCUACAUCUGGAGGUCUUUUCUCCUGAGAACACGGGACUCCAGCAUCUUCGGAUUCUGCUCUUGGAGACUUGGAUAUUAAACAAAGUCAAAGAAGUAUCCUAGCCAUCAACAGUCAACCCAAACUGUUGGAAGAAGGAAUAUGUUUCUGCCUUGUCUCUCCCAAAUGAACACAAACUAUGAAAAUAUAAAACUCUGAAUCAGGAUUGGAAACUUAUGAUCAUCACUGGAAACAUUCUCCACUAUAUUAAGUACCAGGAUCUUUUACCUUGGACAGAAGUGUAUAUGGCAACUUCACAGUCUGCCUCAAGGAGAUUCUGUCCUCUUCUUGCAGUAGGGCCUAUGUGUGCAGCUGAGCAGAGCGUUGAGGAAACGUCAGUGAUUUUAUAACUACUUAUCAUGUUGGGAGAUUGUUGUGAUGAUUGCCUGGACUCUCAGAUGUUACACAGGCUGCAUCAUUGGACUGAAAGUGAAUGGCCCAUGUGUUGCCACUGAUGUGAGCCAUUUGCCUGUUGUGCUUCA
rnacentral:precursor_RNA from 1 species